GACGAACGCUGGCGGCGUGCUUAACACAUGCAAGUCGAACGGAAAGGCCCUGCUUUUGUGGGGUGCUCGAGUGGCGAACGGUUGAGUAACACGUGAGUAACCUGCCCUUGACUUUGGGAUAACUUCAGGAAACUGGGGCUAAUACCGGAUAGGAGCUCCUGCUGCAUGGUGGGGGUUGGAUAGUUUCGGCGGUUGGGGAUGGACUCGCGGCUUAUCAGCUUGUUGGUGGGGUAGUGGCUUACCAAGGGUUUGACGGGUAGCCGGCCUGAGAGAGUUACCGGCCACAUUUGGACUUAGAUACGGUCCAGACUCCUACGGUAGGCAGCUGUGGGGAAAAGUUCACAAUGGGCAGAAGCCUGAUGCAGCAACGCCGCGGGAGGGAUGACGGCCUUCGGAUUGUAAACCGCUUUCGCCUGUGACGAAGCGUGAGUGACGGUAAUGGGUAAAGAAGCACCGGCUAACUACGUG
rnacentral:rRNA from 1 species